rnacentral:rRNA from 1 species
AGGCAGCAGUGAGGAUAUUGGUCAAUGGGCGSUAGCCUGAACCAGCCAAGUAGCGUGAAGGAUGAAGGCUCUAUGGGUCGUAAACUUCUUUUAUAUAAGAAUAAAGUGCAGUAUGUAUACUGUUUUGUAUGUAUUAUAUGAAUAAGGAUCGGCUAACUCCGUGCCAGCAGCCGCGGUAAUACGGAGGAUCCGAGCGUUAUCCGGAUUUAUUGGGUUUAAAGGGAGCGUAGGUGGACUGGUAAGUCAGUUGUGAAAGUUUGCGGCUCAACCGUAAAAUUGCAGUUGAUACUGUCAGUCUUGAGUACAGUAGAGGUGGGCGGAAUUCGUGGUGUAGCGGUGAAAUGCUUAGAUAUCACGA